rnacentral:rRNA from 1 species
UGCGUAGGCGGAAUAUUAAGUCAGUGGUGAAAUCCUGCGGCUCAACCGUAGAACUGCCAUUGAUACUGAUAUUCUUGAAUGUAGUUGAGGUAGGCGGAAUGUGUAAUGUAGCGGUGAAAUGCUUAGAUAUUACACAGAACACCGAUUGCGAAGGCAGCUUACUAAACUAUGAUUGACACUGAGGCACGAAAGCGUGGGGAGCGAACAGGAUUAGAUACCCUGGUAGUCC